AUCCAACUGACGAGUUUCAAAUAGGACGAUACGCGAGUCGAAUUGGAG
rnacentral:hammerhead_ribozyme from 1 species